UCAAAGGCUUUUCUAAAAGCUAGCAUUUAACAAUUAAAAAUACUUU
rfam:Felis catus isolate Cinnamon breed Abyssinian chromosome A3, whole genome shotgun sequence.